rnacentral:lncRNA from 1 species
AUCUUUAUUUUUCUUCUUCUUCAACCGUAAUAGAAAAAAGAAAUGGCAGCCAUGGAAUGGGUUUCAUUCGGCCAAGCUUUGGAGCUUGAUAGGUGAGUGGUUUUUGCCCCGUUUUUAAGGAUUUCUAUGUUUUCGGAGUCGUGGUAACUCGAUUUAGCUAUUUCGUACCUUUAUUUUCAAAAAUGUUAAAGUUUGUGAAUUUUUCCAUUGUUGAUAAAGUGUGAAUUUUGAUAAUUGAUGAUAGAAAAUACAUCCUUGUUGUUAGAUAAACAACAUUUGUAAAGUGAUUUUUGAUAGAAAUGUCGAUUAGGGACUAAAUUAAGAAAUGUGAUAAAUUGUGUGGUGAAAGUGUGAAUAUGUGAAAAAUGUGGGCUGCUAUAAGAGGGAAUAUGAAUCGGCUAGGCUUAGGAUUUGAGAAAAAUAAGUGCUUUUCAUUUUACAAGCCUAGAGGCAAAAUUAUAAAUAUGUGAAACUUUAGGGGCAAAAAUGUAAUUUUUCCAUAGUGUGAUUUUUGGACUAGAUUGAAUAAUGUGAGUAUUAAAUGAGUUAAAUGUGUUAUUAUAGAUCAAGAAAGAUGAGGAGUUGACAUUGAUCGGGGAAAAGAAAAGGUUGUGGACUAAAUUGUAAAUUCGUCAUAUCUUGCACCAAAGUAAGUUUGUAUGUAAAUAAUGCAUCGUUUUUACUUAUGUUAUCAUAUUUUAUUAUGUCUUAUGAAAUGUGGCUGAAUAUUGAAUGAAAUUGACAGGUAUCGAAAAGUGAGAAAUUUCCCGGUUGAACAUUAGGAAUAGAAUAGGAUACAAGUGACAUGUCACUAGUGACUCUAGUGUGGUACUAUGUGAAGGCCACUUUGAGAAGAGCUAGCUUGAUCACAAGUGUGGUACUAUGUGAAAGCCACUUUGUGAAGAAAGAUAGCUUUGGUCACAAGUGUGGUACUAUGUGAAGGUCACUUUGUGAAGAAGGUAGCUUUGGCUACAAGGGUUGUACUAUGUGCAGGUCAUCGGGUAUCCAUUAUUAUUCUGAUGUGUUCAAUGGGAAAUGACUAAGUGUAAACGAAUAUGACCAUGUGAUGAAUAAAUGCAGGUAUGUGUGUGUAAACUUAUGAGCAAUAUACUCGAUAUAUGAUCGAACUUUGGUAAGAUUGAUACGGAGUAAGUGUUACAAUGAAAGUUACUAUAAAGAAAACAUAAAAGAGUGAAAUUUAGAAAUAAAAGAGUUUUGGACAGCAGUGGUUGUGUGACUUUAAAAAAUCACCAAAAAUGGUGGAAACCGAAUUAAAAGUUGAAUAGAUAUGAAAUUAAAGCUUAUUGAGUCUAUUUUUCACAUAAAAGAAGCGGUGUCAGUAAAAGAAUUUCAUAUUAUAAGAUAUUUGAAUUUUUGUUCAGAAUGAUUCAAACUCCUGUUCUUAAUUUGGAAAAUUAUUAAAAAUUGUAAAAAAAUUAUUUGUUAGAAUUUAUAUGUUUAAAAUCCUGAAUAAGUCUAUUUCAAUAGAAACAAACGGAAAUGUCAUCCAAAUUCUGUACGAGAAGAUAAUUAAUUUUUAAUGUAGAAAGGUCGAAACUAUCAGAUAGCAGAAUAGGGGAAAUUUUAAAGAAUAAACUGUACUUAUUGGCUAAACCAAAAAUUCUGAAAAUUUUAUGGUAAGAAGAUAUGUGAGUCUAGUUUCAGGGAAAAUUUGCGGAACUUAAUUUGGAGUUCUGUAACUCAAGAUAUAAAUAGUUUAGUGACUAUGACUUGAGUAGACAGCUAUGUGUAAAUGUUGGAACUAUGUGUAAUUAUGAUUGUAUUAUUUUGAGAACAUAUUGUGAAGAUUGAUAAAAGCAUAUUAAUAAAUUGUAUAUUAUUUACAUAUCCACUUACUAAGCCAUAUGCUUACCCCCUUUCUUUCCCCUUGUCUUAUAGUGUCACUAAGCUAGCUCGGGAUAUGGAGAUUGUCGGAGAUCCAUCCUCACUAUCAACACUCUUUUGGUAUUUUGAAAUCAAUAUUUUGAAUUAUGGCAUGUAUAGAAGGCUUGGUUAUUCUGUUAUGUGUCAUAAUUGAUUUGGCCUAAAAUGUUGGUCUACGUUAUUUGAUAAUUUAUUUUGUAUAAAGCCAUUGAUGUUGGCUAAUAUUGAUCAAAUUAUAUGUUCAUGAUGAUGCAUUUCGUGGAUGUGCAAGCUUGCAUGACUUGACCGAAAAGUUUUAAUUUUUUUUAAAAAAAAGUCUUGGUUUUGUACGAUUACAUGUGUUUAUGUUUUGGUAAUGCCUCGUACCAUGUUCCGGUGUCGAACACAGGUAAUGGGUGUUACAUGUCAC